GUGUCAGCCGCCGCGGUGAUACGUAGGGAGCAAGCGUUAUCCGGAUUUACUGGGUGUAAGGGCGACGCAGGCGGGCCGGCAAGUUGGAAGUGAACUCCGGGGCUUAACCCCGAACUGCUUUCAAAACUGCUGGUCUUGAGUGAUGGAGAGGCAGGCGGAAUUCCGUGUGUAGCGGUGAAAUGCGUAGAUAUAACGGAGGAACACCAGUGGCGAAGGCGGCCUGCUGGACAUUAACUGACGCUGAGGCGACGAAAGCGUGGGGAGCAAACAGGAUUAGACUACCUGGUACGUCCACGCCGUAAACGAUGGAUACUAGGUGUGGGAGGUA
rnacentral:rRNA from 1 species